rnacentral:rRNA from 1 species
AGAGUUUGAUCAUGGCUCAGGAUGAACGCUAGCUACAGGCUUAACACAUGCAAGUCGAGGGGAAACGACAUCGAAAGCUUGCUUUUGAUGGGCGUCGACCGGCGCACGGGUGAGUAACGCGUAUCCAACCUGCCCACCACUUGGGGAUAACCUUGCGAAAGUAAGACUAAUACCCAAUGAUAUCUCUAGAAGACAUCUGAAAGAGAUUAAAGAUUUAUCGGUGAUGGAUGGGGAUGCGUCUGAGUAGCUUGUUGGGCGGGGUAACGGCCACCAAGGCGACGAUCAGUAGGGGUUCUGAGAGGAACGGUCCCCCACAUUGGAACUGAGACCACGGUCCAAACUCCGUACGGGAGCA